UGGCAGGUACAGAGGGAUGCUACCGGGCGACCGGAUGCGGAUCUCGAAAGCCUGUCCCAGUUCGGACUGGAGUCUGCAACCCGACUCCACGAAGUUGGAUUCGCUAGUAAUCGCGCAUCAGCCAUGGCGCGGUGAAUACGUUCCCGGGCCUUGUACACACCGCCCGUCAAGCCAUGGGAGCCGGGGGCGCCUGAAGUCCGGGACCGCGAGGACCGGCCUGGGGCGAAACUGGUAACUGGGGCUAAGUCGUAACAAGGUACC
rnacentral:rRNA from 1 species